AAAUGAAAUUUUUUAAAGCUUGUUGCAUAGCGCGAUAUGACUGUGUGUCCACCAGCAGAGACUGGGAUCAUGGACGAGCCCAGCUGGACCAGAUCAGCAAUCAAGGUGUCCGACUGGGAAAAGACUCACUGCACAUGAGAAAGAGCAGCUGAGGACAAAUCUACCAGGUGACAGGAUCCCUGCUGAUGCUUCAGACAGAUACCUCAUCGAGCUGGCUGCGACACCACAGUGUGAGAGAGUCGGGGGUGACAGCAUGGCCGCAGGACAUCUCUGCUCUCAGACAGUCAUCAUCAUCAUCAUCAUCACACAGAGGAUCCAGGUCGUCCCUCC